GGAUACAUUAAUGACUUCAAAGCUAGAAGUGUUUUACAACCUGAACCCAACUGUUGGACCCCAUCCAAUGAACAAUGAAAUUUUAUGCUGUUGGUUUAAAGCUUAGAGAUAUGCCUCAACAUCUAUCCUUUACAUGUUUUGUGGUUAAAUAACAGUAUCAAGCUUUAUCUGUUUUUAAACAACAAUUUUCGUUUUCAUUUAUUAGUUAACCUAUUCUACCCUGAUAAUAUAAAUGACUGAU